rnacentral:rRNA from 1 species
GAUGAACGCUGGCGGCGUGCCUAAUACAUGCAAGUCGAGCGAACGGACGAGAAGCUUGCUUCUCUAAUGUUAGCGGCGGACGGGUGAGUAACACGUGGAUAACCUACCUAUAAGACUGGGAUAACUUCGGGAAACCGAAGCUAAUACCGGAUAAUAUUUUGAACCGCAUGGUUCAAAAGUGAAAGACGGUCUUGCUGUCACUUAUAGAUGGAUCCGCGCUGCAUUAGCUAGUUGGUAAGGUAACGGCUUACCAAGGCAACGAUGCAUAGCCGACCUGAGAGGGUGAUCGGCCACACUGGAACUGAGACACGGUCCAGACUCCUACGGGAGGCAGCAGUAGGGAAUCUUCCGCAAUGGGCGAAAGCCUGACGGAGCAACGCCGCGUGAGUGAUGAAGGUCUUCGGAUCGUAAAACUCUGUUAUUAGGGAAGAACAUAUGUGUAAGUAACUGUGCACAUCUUGACGGUACCUAAUCAGAAAGCCACGGCUAACUACGUG